rnacentral:lncRNA from 1 species
UACCAAGAAGUCAAGUUUUCAAACGUUUGCCUCAUAUUUUUUAAAAGGAAAUGUCACACAUCAAGAUGCGUAAUUACAUUAGGCCAUGCUUUUAGAAAGUUAUCAGGCAGUGGAAUUCAGGAAAUCAGAAGUUUGUUUGAUGAAUAAACCUCCAGCUGUUUACUUGGGGUAUUUAUAGAUAAUAACCCUAUUUCUAUCAUCCAAGAUGAUGCAUUUAAAAUUUUUCCAUCUUUAA